rnacentral:misc_RNA from 1 species
AAAAAAAAAAAAAAAAUCUUUUAAGUUUGUAAAUAAUAAAAGUUGUCCCUAAGUUUAACAGAGAUCUGAGACCAUGUAAAUAGGUUAAGUCACAUACUCUCAAAUUCUUCAUAGGAUGCAUGCAAGCAGCUAGAACAUAUGACAAUAAUGGCUACAUGAAGACACCACAAUGAAGAUUAUCACAUUAUUCGGGGGAUUACUGUAUUUCUCUUGAUUAAUUUUAUGGUUAUGAUCAUUUUCAGACAGUAUGAAUCACGUUUGAGUCUGAAAAGAGUUGAAAACUUGAAAUCCCUAAGCUUUUGUGUUUCAGAUUGUCACUUGAGCAAUCAUUUAUCUGGUAUGAACAGAAAAGGACUAAUAUGACUAUGUACAAUAAUGCCAAAUUCUUUUCUUUUUAUAAAUUAAAUAAUCAAACAUCAUUAAGAUCCCAUAUUCUAACAUAAAUUAGUAGUGAAAUCAUUAUCGCGCUUCAAAACCUAUAACCACAGAUUACUGGAUGACUCACUCACCUAUAAGUUCCAGAAACAAAUGGCUCAUGUAUCCUGGACCAAAUAAAGAAAAGGGGCUGAACGUUGUAACCAAUAAUUAUUAUGAGCCGGAAAAAAGAAAUGAUACAGUACCAAAAGCAUCUUUAAAAGAGCUUGUGUUCCAAUGUGAGCAAGGGCACUUUUAAUUCUUUUGUUUCCUUCAACAUCAACAUAGUGCAGCACACUUUCACCUUGUUCAUAAGUUUCAACAAGCACAGCUGGGUGCACUAAGGGAUACAGAGGCCUUGGGAAUGAUACAUCCUUCCAUCUCCGGAAAUUAUAGAUGAAGCGGCUCAAAUGGGCUGCUUCUCUUGCAAGAUCAACUUGAGACAUCAUGAAGACAGCAAAGUGUUGUAUGCUUUCUUCCAAUCUAGUCCAUUUUAAUGUAGGAACAAACUUUGAAAUUUUGGCUAAAAAAUUUAUUAAUACAAAAUCCCUUCUAAUUACUUCAGCAACGCUUGGAUGUCGAACCUUUACAGCCACUACAAUGGGCUCAAUCUCCUGACCAGGAUAUCUAUAUUUUAAAGUAGCUCGAUGAACUUGGGCAACACUUCCAGAUGCUAUAGGUUCCUCUUCAAAGUCUGCAAAAAUUUCAGGCAGCCUACGUCCAAAGGCUCUUUCAAUAGUCAUUCUGGUGAAGGUAAAACUAUGUGCUGGUGCUUUAGCAUGGAGUCUUGCAAGUUCUCUGCACAGAUCUUGGGGAAAAAGAUCUGGUCUUGUUGCAGCCCAUUGACCCCAUUUAAUAAAAGCUGGUCCUGCUUUUUCAAGUGUAAGACGAACAACACAAAGCCAUGUGUUUCUAAACUUAUGACUGAGAGAAUCUGCAAAUGGAGCCAUAACUAUGCAGGGCAAGAACAAAAUCGCCAAAUAAACAGCUCUGAGUAACAAAAUUAUGCCCUCAAGAAGUGAUAGCAGUAAUGCAUUCAAAUAACCAUGGCCAUCUUGUGUUUGUGUGUACAUAGCACCCCUUGUCCUUAAACUUUCUGCUUCUACCCAUGUUCGUUGAGUCCAAGCAAGCUGUCCAAUUAUGAAGGCAAUAACACGAGGAGCCAACAAAUUUGAUCGUGUCAAUGCUAGGCUCACUGCACAGGCUAUUCUACUUACUGGGGGUAAAGUUGGUUUAUUGUAAAACCAAAUUUGGGAAAAUCUCUUCCAAACAACUUGGCCAUGGUAAGAAAUGGCACUACUUGCUGAAUGCGUACAUAAGUUCCUAGAUACAAAAGAGUUCAAUAAGCAGUGCCUCAUUUGAUGCAAUGGAUAAGGAGAAUCUCUUCCAAACAAAUGUUUAUUCAAUCUCCAUAGGCUGUAAUGGAAACAGCCCAUGUAAUACACCCCAUUAGUAUUUGCUCCUGAGAUGUUAGUCUUCCCGCUACGAAGAAGGGAAUGUGUACCUAUCCUAACACUUCCAAAUGCCAAAAAUCUUGACAUAGCGUUGAGGUUUCUGAUGACGAUCGUUGGCGUGUUCUAACACACACAGGCGGCGCACAAUGGCCAGCCGGCAUUUCUUUUCAAAAUCCUGAAAACGACGACGGAGAACAGAAGGAUGCCGUCGGCCGUGGUUCAGCCACCAAGGUGGGCGGUGGUAGGAGAUUGAAGCAUGCUUGCUUUGGUUUAGUGGCAGGCGAAGGACGUGGAUGCAGUGGGAUCCAAUAAUCUGGUCAACUGUUGAAGUGCACGAAUGGAAGAAGAGAUGAUUUUCACGGUGAAUAAUUUAUUUGCGGAA